rnacentral:rRNA from 1 species
UACGUAGGGUGCGAGCGUUGUCCGGAAUCAUUGGGCGUAAAGAGCGCGUAGGCGGCCCUGUAAGUCCGCUGUGAAAGUCAAGGGCUCAACCCUUGGAUGCCGGUGGAUACUGCAGGGCUAGAGUCCGGAAGAGGCGAGUGGAAUUCCUGGUGUAGCGGUGAAAUGCGCAGAUAUCAGGAGGAACACCGAUGGCGAAGGCAGCUCGCUGGGACGGUACUGACGCUGAGGUGCGAAAGCGUGGGGAGCAAACAGG